rnacentral:rRNA from 1 species
AUUGAACGCUGGCGGCAGGCCUAACACAUGCAAGUCGAGCGGAGCGGCGGACGGGUGAGUAAUGCCUAGGAAUCUGCCUGGUCGUGGGGGAUAACGUCCGGAAACGGGCGCUAAUACCGCAUUCUAGCAGCUGAGCCUAGGUGGGAUUGGCUGGUUGGUGGGGUAAAGGCCUACCAAGGCGACGAUCCGUACCUGGUCUGAGAGGAUGAUCAGUCCCACUGGAACUGGGACACGGUCCAUACUCCUACGGGAGGCAGCAGUGGGGAAUAGUGGACAAUGGGCGAAAGCCUGGUCCAGCCAUGCCGCGAGUGUGAAGAAGGUCUUCGGAGUGUAAAGCACUUUAAGUUGGGAGGCGGUACCCGCAGAAGAAGCACCGGCUAACUCCGUGCCAGCAGCCGCGGUAAUUC